UAUCUUUUCUGUGGUAAUACUUGGUGAGUCGGCCCGCGAGACUAGGUGAAUCAGGCUUCAAGUGUUAACUUAUGUGUUAUCCAUAAAAUGGCUGAUUCUUCACUGACUAUUGCUACAUCUCCAUCACGUAUAAAAGAAGUUAAUCCAAACUUUUCAUACGAUGUCAGUAUAA